rnacentral:rRNA from 1 species
UACAGAGGGUGCUAGCGUUGUUCGGAAUCAUUGGGCGUAAAGGGCGUGUAGGCGGUUUGUUAAGUCAUGUGUGAAAUCCCUCGGCUCAACCGGGGAACGACGCAUGAAACUGGCAAGCUAGAGUACCAAAGAGGGGGGUGGAAUUCCAGGUGUAGCGGUGAAAUGCGUAGAUAUCAAGAGGAACACCUGAGGUGAAGACGGGUUGCUGGGCCGACACUGACGCUGAGUGCGCGAAAGCGUGGGGAGCAAACAGG